UAGAGAAUAUUUCUAUUUUCAGCCUC
rnacentral:piRNA from 1 species